CCUACGGGUGGCAGCAGUGGGGAAUAUUGGGCAAUGGGCGCAAGCCUGACCCAGCAACGCCGCGUGAAGGAAGAAGGCUUUCGGGUCGUAAACUUCUUUUGUCAGGGAAGAGUAGAAGACGGUCCCUGACGAAUAAGCCACGGCUAACUACGUGCCAGCCGCCGCGGUAAUACGUAGGUGGCAAGCGUUGUCCGUAUGUACUGGGGGUAAAGGGCGUGUAGCCGGGUUGACAAGUCAGAUGUGAAAUCCUGCGGCUUAACCGCAGAACUGCAUUUGAAACUGUUGGUCUUGAGUGCUGGAGAGGCAGACGGAAUUCCUAGUGUAGCGGUGAAAUGCGUAGAUAUUAGGAGGAACACCAGUGGCGAAGGCGGUCUGCUGGACAGCAACUGACGGUGAGGCGCGAAAGCGUGGGGAGCAAACAGGAUUAGAUACCCUAGUAGUC
rnacentral:rRNA from 1 species